rnacentral:sRNA from 1 species
CGUCCGGUAAGUAAGGCUACCGCAGGGAUAUGGAUCGAUGCCGCAAAGUGAUGGAGACAUCACGCGAUGGUUGAACAGGUUUUGUCGAAAGCAAGGCACUACCUAAUGCGAUUUCACCGCCCUGCGAAGCUAAAGCUCGAACGGUGGC